rnacentral:rRNA from 1 species
GACGAACGCUGGCGGCGUGCUUAACACAUGCAAGUCGAACGGAAAGGCCCUGCUUUUGUGGGGUGCUCGAGUGGCGAACGGGUGAGUAACACGUGAGUAACCUGCCCUUGACUUUGGGAUAACUUCAGGAAACUGGGGCUAAUACCGGAUAGGAGCUCCUGCUGCAUGGUGGGGGUUGGAAAGUUUCGGCGGUUGGGGAUGGACUCGCGGCUUAUCAGCUUGUUGGUGGGGUAGUGGCUUACCAAGGCUUUGACGGGUAGCCGGCCUGAGAGGGUGACCGGACACAUUGGGACUGAGAUACGGCCCAGACUCCUACGGGAGGCAGCAGUGGGGAAUAUUGCACAAUGGGCGGAAGCCUGAUGCAGCAACGCCGCGUGCGGGAUGACGGCCCUCGGGUUGUAAACCGCUUUCGCCUGUGACGAAGCGUGAGUGACGGUAAUGGGUAAAGAAGCACCGGCUAACUACGUG